rnacentral:lncRNA from 1 species
GGAACAAUAGAAGACGAAUGAUGACAUCGGUAACCCCGUUAUACUUGAAAGUAUCAUUUGGAUGGCAACCAUCUUGAUUUUGAAAUUAUUGGUGUUGAUUGUCGGCCUCUCGAUACUACCUCGGACUACAUCUAAGGUGGGUAGCGCGUAUUCGCGCAAGGUUCACUCUUGUCGAGCUAUCAAAUGCUCUCUUCAGAACUAUGCUUCCGGUUCUAGUGAUUCAUCAAAUGGAGGUUUUUCUUGAGGUAAGUCAACUACCACAGAUGGAUUGUUUUGCAUUUGUUGACGGGUUCGCCUUAGAAUUCUCUCUGGUUUAGGAUUUCGCUUGAUUGGAAUGGCUCUGCUAUGAGUCAUACAUAGAAAUCAAAGAGAAAUUGAAAUAAAAUUAAUAAUCAAAAAAUGAAAUAAAAUAAAAUAUGUAUCUAUAAUUCUAAAAAUUGCUAUUUUUCCUAUUAAAAUUUAGAAAAUAAAAUUUUAGUUUAAUGUCGAAACCUCGCGGCAACGGCACCAACCACUUGACCACCGCAAGAAAUGCGAACGGUAGGAUUGGAAAUACUGCAGUAAAAAC